GACAGAGGGGGCAAGCGUUGCUCGGAUUUAUUGGGCGUAAAGGGUGCGUAGGCGGUUUGGCAAGUCUUGUGUGAAAUCUUUGGGCUCAACCCAAAGCCUGCACAAGAAACUGCCGGGCUUGAGUAUGGGAGAGGUGAGUGGAAUUCCCGGUGUAGUGGUGAAAUGCGUAGAUAUCGGGAGGAACACCAGUGGCGAAGGCGACUACCUGGCCUGUUCUUGACGCUGAGGCGCGAAAGCUAGGGGAGCAAACGGG
rnacentral:rRNA from 1 species